GACGAACGCUGGCGGCGUGCCUAAUACAUGCAAGUCGAACGCACUGGGGACGGGUGAGUAACACGUGGGUAACCUCCCAUCAGAGGGGAUAACACUUGGAAACAGGUGCUAAAACGAUACUGAUUGAUGGACCCGCGGUGCAUUAGCUAGUUGUUGAGGUAACGGCGCACCAAGGCCACGAUGCAUAGCCGACCUGAGAGGGUGAUCGGCAAGCAGGUGACUGAGACACGGCCCAGACUCCUACGUGAGGAAGCAGUAGGGAAUAUUCGGCAAUGGACGAAAGUCUGAUCGAGCAACGCCGCGUGAGUGAAGAAGGUUUUCGGAUCGUAAAACUCUGUUGUUAGAGAAGCGGUAUCUAACCAGAAAGCCACGGCUAACUACGUGCCAGCAGCCGCGGUAAUUC
rnacentral:rRNA from 1 species